CAACUUUCAGCAACGGAUCUCUUGGCUCUCGCAUCGAUGAAGAACGCAGCGAAAUGCGAUAAGUAAUGUGAAUUGCAGAAUUCAGUGAAUCAUCGAAUCUUUGAACGCACCUUGCGCCCCUUGGAUAUUCCUCGGGGCAUGCCUGUUUGAGUAUCAUGA
rnacentral:rRNA from 1 species